rfam:Picea glauca, whole genome shotgun sequence.
GAGUGCGAUCAUACUAGCGUUAAUGCACCAGAUCCUAUCAGAACACUGCAGUUAAGUGCGCUUGGGCUAGAGUAGUACUGGGAUCGGUGAGCUCUCGGAAAGUCCUAGUGUUGCACCCU